CCGGGCUCGGCAACCCCGCUCCAUUAUCUACACACCAAUCAGAAUUUCUGAAAAGUUGCCCAUAAAGAGGCGAGAUAGGAAGCUGUACGGAAAUAACACAGGAAAAUAAACAGAGAAAGGGUCCAGACUGCAGGAAUCUGGCAAUGAGGUAAUACAGUUCUGAAAAGAAAGGUUGAUGUGUUAGCUACUGAGCCGAGCUAACGUUAGCUAUCCACUCGGUUACUUAGCUCGUUGUCUGACACAAAACUACAAAGUGUGAGAAUGCAAAAUGUUCUGUUGUGAAAUAAAUCAACACAUGUCACUCA